CUUGAAAUCAAUACACUGGCAUGCUGCUCAGUUUCUUGAUGCACUUUGUCACUUGGAGGAAAGCACUUCCAAAAAAGAAGAUGAGACAACUGUGAAAAAAUUGCCACUUGUUUCUGUUAGUGAGAGAACACCCACCAUUCACAGAUCACAUUUUAGAGGAAGGAAAGGCCAUGAAGGCAGACGAUAUCAUGUCACAGAAUGGAUGAGAUGUUCAAGUCCUGUCGUGGGGACAUAGCUACAAACAAGAUAUCUCCUGUCCCAGAAGCACUUCUGAAGAAACUGCAUUUGCUCUCCUUCAGAAGAAAGUUCUCCUAAAUGGC
rnacentral:lncRNA from 1 species